rnacentral:lncRNA from 1 species
AAGGACCCAAGCAAGCUUGGGUACCCAAAAUGAAAAUAUGAGGAUGUAGAUGUAGGUGUGCCAAGAUACCUAUGGACAAAUAGAACUUUCAUACAAAUGGGUGUUCUAGACACACGUCAAAAAAAUGAAACUUGAAAUAUACUUAUGAAAAGUAAUUAAAAAAUAAUAAUAAUGAAAUCAGUAACCCUUGCAUCUCAUCAUUAUUUUUGCUUUAGUAUUUGAUUAAAAUAUGAAUUGCAAGUAUUGAUCAAUUUUGUGAUAUAGAAAAUACUUUUGGGAAUA